GCUGCUGAGUAUGCUAAGAAGCAUUUACACAGAAAUGUUCUUUCAGCUGGCUUACCACGUGAGUUGUUGGAUGUGAAAGCUGCGAAAAAGGCCAUACUUGAUGGUUUUCGAAAGACCGAUGAAUCUCUCCUUCAUGAAAGUGCUUCAGGGGGAUGGCAGGAUGGUGCUACAGCUGUAUGUGUUUGGGUAUUGGGGCAAACUGUUUUUAUUGCUAACAUUGGGGAUGCUAA
rnacentral:misc_RNA from 1 species